CUGCCUACGGGUGGCAGCAGUGAGGAAUAUUGGUCAAUGGGCGAGAGCCUGAACCAGCCAAGUCGCGUGAAGGAAGAAGGAUCUAUGGUUCGUAAACUUCUUUUGCAGGGGAAUAAAGUGCAGGACGUGUCCUGUUUUGUAUGUACCCUGAGAAUAAGGAUCGGCUAACUCCGUGCCAGCAGCCGCGGUAAUACGGAGGAUCCGAGCGUUAUCCGGAUUUAUUGGGUUUAAAGGGUGCGUAGGUGGUUUGAUAAGUCAGCGGUGAAAGUUUGCAGCUUAACUGUAAAAAUGCCGUUGAAACUGUCGGACUUGAGUGUAAAUGAGGUAGGCGGAAUGCGUGGUGUAGCGGUGAAAUGCAUAGAUAUCACGCAGAACUCCGAUUGCGAAGGCAGCUUACUAAGCUACAACUGACACUGAAGCACGAAAGCGUGGGGAUCAAACAGGAUUAGAUACCCGAGUAGUC
rnacentral:rRNA from 1 species